GGUUAACGCUGGCGGUGUGUCUAAUACAUGCAAGUCGAACGCAACUUCGGUUGAGUGGCGGACGAGCGAGUAACACGUUAGAACCUGCCCCAAACUCAGGGAUAACAUCUAGAAAUAGGUGCUAAUACCGGAUAGUCCCGUAAGGGUAAAGAUUUAUCGGUUUGGGAGGGGCUUGCGUACUAUCAGCUUGUUGGUAAGGUAAUGGCUUACCAAGGCUAUGACGGUUAACUGGUCUGAGAGGAUGAUCAGUCGCGAUGGGACUGAGACACGGCCCAU
rnacentral:rRNA from 1 species